rnacentral:rRNA from 1 species
GUUACUCCUACGGGAGGCAGCAGUGGGGAAUAUUGCACAAUGGGCGCAAGCCUGAUGCAGCAACGCCGCGGGAGGGAUGACGGCCUUCGGGUUGUAAACCUCUUUUAGCAGGGAAGAAGCGAGAGUGACGGUACCUGCAGAAAAAGCACCGGCUAACUACGUGCCAGCAGCCGCGGUAAUACGUAGGGUGCAAGCGUUAUCCGGAAUUAUUGGGCGUAAAGAGCUCGUAGGCGGUUUGUCGCGUCUGCUGUGAAAUUCCGAGGCUCAACCUCGGGCUUGCAGUGGGUACGGGCAGACUAGAGUGCGGUAGGGGAGAUUGGAAUUCCUGGUGUAGCGGUGGAAUGCGCAGAUAUCAGGAGGAACACCGAUGGCGAAGGCAGAUCUCUGGGCCGUAACUGACGCUGAGGAGCGAAAGGGUGGGGAGCAAACAGGCUUAGAUACCCUGGUAGUCCACCCCGUAAACGUUGGGAACUAGUUGUGGGGUCCUUUCCACGGAUUCCGUGACGCAGCUAACGCAUUAAGUUCCCCGCCUGGGGAGUACGGCCGCAAGGCUAAAACUCAAAGGAAUUGACGGGGACCCGCACAAGCGGCGGAGCAUGCGGAUUAAUUCGAUGCAACGCGAAGAACCUUACCAAGGCUUGACAUACACGAGAACGGGCCAGAAUAUGUUCAACUUU